AGCAGACUUCUAGUAACUCAGCAUAACAUAGUACCGUCUCCUCCAUAAUUUUAGACGACGUCUUGUACGUCUCAUCAAUUUGAAUUCUACUCCAACUACUAGAUUCAUUCUUGCUCACAGAUGUGAGCAAUUAGCAAAGCAAGCGUUAUGUGGAUACGAAUGGCUACACUAGAUGGCGUCCGAUGCCACGAUAGGUGGCGUUUCCAGUCAUACUACGCUCGGACGCCAGUAGAUUCCAAUAUUAAAGUGUCUUGGAGGGUCAGCACACUAACAAGUCAGUUACAGUUACUUGAACAAUCAGGCGUUGUAAAAUGGCGUCAAAUACCGGAAUACUCUGCGUUUGAGUACUGAGGAGCCAAUGGACCGUACGACGCGCAGUUCCACAGGUUUCUACAGCAAGCUGCGGCGGACGUGGGCUUUUUGGUAUGGAACAUGCUGCUUUUACGUGAACGAACCUCGUCAAGGACUAAGAAGGGUUACAGGCAACAGGCAGUGAAGUGGCAAGACACUUGAAUUAUCAACAUAAUAGUUUAGUUUCAGUGUUCAGGGGCAAGUCACUGCUAACAAAUUAAAGUUGCUGUCAAUCUGCUAGCUGAUCGAAUAAGAUGUUGUGUGACUACAUUGCUUGGUUUGCAUGUUCCAUGAAUUUUAAACAGAAAAUGAUGGUGAGGUUUUGGUGGAAGCAACAUACUUGAAAGGUAACAGACAAUAUUCUUCCUGUAACAUGUAUGACUCAUAAAUGUGGUCUGUUUUCCCUAAUGGCAAGUAUGUCAAGUUUCAUGAUAAUGAGAGUUGAUAGGAAAAAGUUUUAUUACUUGAAAUGGUGAUUAACAAGUUACUAUUUUUGUACAAAAUGAAGAUAACCUAUUCCAAGAAUUUAUAGUAGAAAAUGAUGCUGAGGUUUUGUGGAGAGCGACUUCCUUAAAAACGUGCAUUUCAGUCGCCUUUAUUCCCGAUAGAUGGCGUUGAUGUCAUGAAUACGCUGAACGUUUCUGUUGUAGUCCAACAGAUGGCACUGAACAUUUCUGUUUAAAGAUGGCACUGAACAUUUCUGUUUAAAGAUGGCGCUAAACAUUUCUGUCAAAAAGAUAGCGCUAAACAUCUCCAUCGAAGACCGAUAGAUGGCGCUAAACAUCUCCAUCGAAGACCGAUAGAUGGCGCUAAACAUCCCCGUUGAAGACCGAUAGAUGGCGCUGAAAAUCUUCGUUGAAGACCGAAAGAUGGCGUUGAACGUCUACUGAAGUUUGAUAUCUGACGUUGCCUGCUAGCGUAGAUUAGCGAUGUCUGUUUGUAACAUUCUUCACUGUUUUUCAUUAAUUCAGGGACUACCACUGGUUUUCUUCUGAAAUGGUGUGUGGAAGCCAAUCAGGAAUUGUAAGCCUUUGAUUAAUUUUAUGGGUGAGAUGAAGUUAUAUGAUGAAUUGGAAAAGGUGCAAUUAGUUGUUCAAUGCUGUGGUGAUGACACUUAAAACUGGCUGCCUAACAUUCAAAAAAUUGUUAAAUUCCUUAAGGUUUACCAUUGUUUUGCUGCUAGGUCUGAAAUAUAAAGCUUUAUUCAGGCCCUUGUGAUCUUAAAUUUGAUCUACUGGUCCUAGUAAAAUUCACUUUGGGUUCUGAGAAGGCCAAUAAUUUUUAAUCUGUGGAUGUGUCUAAAGAAAUUGCAUUGGCGCUGCUGGUUGUCUAACUGGAAUUUUAGUUCUUGAAUGAGAUUCAGGUUUGAUGAUGCAGGUGUUACAUUAAUGAAUUACGCUCUAAUUCACUAACAUUUCAAGGACCAAUUUCUUCCUCUUAAAAUUUACUUGAAAGGAUUUUGUUCAUUCUGGGAACGCAUCUAUCAACGAAGGAAGCUCCAAUGGGACGUGUCGUAUGUUGUACGUGUAUAUAUCAAAUAUGUUAUCAUUUCCAGUUGUUUCACCCGAAGCUUCUCUCAGAAGAAUAUGCUAAGCAAUCAAUUCACGAGUCAUUUAAGAUUAAUAAUAAAUUUUGACCUGAAAAAGUUCCUUGUUUGGGGCAACGUACUGAAUGAAGCAUUAUGAUUAGAUACACUACAUGGAAUUUCCAUACUUUAUUGACAUUCUCAUUUAAAAACGGUAUUUAAUAUUUUAAAAAAUUGAAGUGCAUAUCUGGGCUCCCUUCCUUUCCGUAGCCCCGUUUCCCCUUGACUCGUAAUAAGCCCGUAGGGGGUCAUGCCCCUACUGUACGGUAUAUAUAAAAAUAACAUAUACCGAGGUUUGGAGGGCUCUGGCCGGAAAGGGGACGUGGAGGUCCGCUUAGUCCGAUGAUGUGUUCACGGAGGGCGACGUGGCUACCCACAAAUCCGAACUAAAGGUUAAUCGCUCCAGUAAAAAUGUUCCAAAUCUUCGGCUCUUCUUCCGGCUUCUCUUAGCCAAUCACCGGGUAAUCUCCCCGGUGGGUCAACAAGGCAGUGUCUCCCCCUGCCUGGGUUGACGGCAACUUUUGAAAGGGCUAUUGUGCCUUUUUAAAGUUGCA